rnacentral:rRNA from 1 species
AUGGUUGUCGUCAGCUCGUGUCGUGAGAUGUUGGGUUAAGUCCCGCAACGAGCGCAACCCCUAUCCUUAGUAGCCAGCAUAAAGAUGGGAACUCUAGGGAGACUGCCGGGGAUAACCCGGAGGAAGGCGGGGACGACGUCAAAUCAUCAUGCCCCUUAUGGCCAGGGCUACACACGUGCUACAAUGGCGUAAACAAAGGGAAGCGAAGCCGUGAGGUGGAGCAAAUCCCAAAAAUAACGUCCCAGUUCGGAUUGUAGUCUGCAACUCGACUACAUGAAGCUGGAAUCGCUAGUAAUCGCAGAUCAGAACGCUG